UACGUAGGUGGCAAGCGUUGUCUGGAUUUACUGGGCGUAAAGAGCGCGCAGGCGGUCAGAUAAGUCGAAUGUGAAAGCCCCCGGCUCAACUGGGGAGGGUCAUUCGAUACUGUUCGACUCGAAGGCAGGAGAGGGAAGCGGAAUUCCCGGUGUAGUGGUGAAAUGCGUAGAUAUCGGGAGGAACACCAUUGGCGAAGGCGGCUUCCUGGCCUGUUCUUGACGCUGAGGCGCGAAAGCUAGGGGAGCAAACGGG
rnacentral:rRNA from 1 species